CCCUUAGAUGUCCGGGGCCGCACGCGCGCUACACUGAAGGAAUCAGCGUGGCUUUCUCCCUGACCCGAAAGGGUUGGGAAACCCGUUGAAUCUCCUUCGUGAUAGGGAUUGGGGCUUGAAAUUGUUCCCCAUGAACGAGGAAUUCCCAGUAAGCGCGAGUCAUAAGCUCGCAUUGAUUACGUCCCUGCCCUUUGUACACACCGCCCGUCGCACCUACCGAUUGAAUGUUUCGGUGAAGAUUCCGGAUAGGACUUUUUUGAUUUAUUUCAAUUUUGUCUUAAAAGCUAUCUAAACCUCAACAUUUAGAGGAAGGUGAAGUCGUAACA
rnacentral:rRNA from 1 species